rnacentral:sRNA from 10 species
AGGAUAAAAACUGGGGGGUAUUAGAAGUUAGUUACUUAGAGUGUCAUCGAAAGAUAGAUAAUUUAAGUAAAAAAUGGACAAAACCAACUCUGGAUUAAUAAGCUGAGAUCGUCCACAACUCUCGAGUUGGAUCACAGUAAAAGGUGAA